rnacentral:rRNA from 1 species
AGAGUUUGAUCAUGGCUCAGGACGAACGCUGGCGGCGCGCCUAACACAUGCAAGUCGAACGAGAGAGAGGGAGCUUGCUUCCUCAAUCGAGUGGCGAACGGGUGAGUAACGCGUGAGGAACCUGCCUCAAAGAGGGGGACAACAGUUGGAAACGACUGCUAAUACCGCAUAAGCCCACGGGUCGGCAUCGACCAGAGGGAAAAGGAGCAAUCCGCUUUGAGAUGGCCUCGCGUCCGAUUAGCUAGUUGGUGAGGUAAUGGCCCACCAAGGCAACGAUCGGUAGCCGGACUGAGAGGUUGAACGGCCACAUUGGGACUGAGACACGGCCCAGACCUCCGUACGGGAGCA